rnacentral:rRNA from 1 species
UACGGAGGAUGCAAGCGUUAUCCGGAUUUAUUGGGUUUAAAGGGUGCGCAGGCGGCUCGUUAAGUCAGCGGUGAAAUCUCCCGGCUCAACCGGGGAACUGCCGUUGAUACUGUCGUGCUGGAGUACGGACGGCUCCGGCGGAAUGUGUCAUGUAGCGGUGAAAUGCUUAGAUAUGCCACAGAACACCGAUCGCGAAGGCAGCUGGCGAGGCCGGUACUGACGCUCAGGCACGAAAGCGUGGGGAUCAAAC